rnacentral:rRNA from 1 species
UACGUAGGGGGCAAGCGUUAUCCGGAUUUACUGGGUGUAAAGGGAGCGUAGACGGCGAUGUAAGUCUGGAGUGAAAGCCCGCGGCCCAACUGCGGGACUGCUCUGGAAACUGUGUUGCUAGAGUACAGGAGGGGCAGGCGGAAUUCCUGGUGUAGCGGUGAAAUGCGUAGAUAUCAGGAGGAACACCGGCGGCGAAGGCGGCCUGCUGGACUGCAACUGACGUUGAGGCUCGAAAGCGUGGGGAGCAAACAGG